rnacentral:rRNA from 1 species
ACUCAAAGGAAUUGACGGGGGCCCGCACAAGCGGUGGAGCAUGUGGUUUAAUUCGACGCAACGCGAAGAACCUUACCUACUCUUGACAUCCUAAGGAUUUGAUAGAGAUAUUGAAGUGCCCGCGAGGGAGCUUAGAGACAGGUGCUGCAUGGCUGUCGUCAGCUCGUGUCGUGAGAUGUUGGGUUAAGUCCCGUAACGAGCGCAACCCUUAUCUUUAGUUGCUAACGGGUAGAGCUGAGCACUUUAAAGAGACUGCCGGUGAUAAGCCGGAGGAAGGUGGGGAUGACGUCAAGUCCUCAUGGCCCUUACGAGUAGGGCUACACACGUGCUACAAUGGACGGUACAAAGGGCAGCGAAGCCGCGAGGUGAAGCGAAUCUCAAAAAGCCGUUCGUAGUCCGGAUUGGAGUCUGCAACUCGACUCCAUGAAGUUGGAAUCGCUAGUAAUCGUGGAUCAGAACGCCACGGUGAAUACGUUCCCGGGCCUUGCACACACCGCCCGU